rnacentral:rRNA from 1 species
GAUGAACGCUGGCGGCGUGCCUAAUACAUGCAAGUCGAGCGAACGGACGAGAAGCUUGCUUCUCUGAUGUUAGCGGUGGACGGGUGAGUAACACGUGGAUAACCUACCUAUAAGACUGGGAUAACUUCGGGAAACCGUAGCUAAUACCGGAUAAUAUUUUGAACCGCAUGGUUCAAAAGUGAAAGACGGUCUUGCUGUCACUUAUAGAUGGAUCCGCGCUGCAUUAGCUAGUUGGUAAGGUAACGGCUUACCAAGGCAACGAUGCAUAGCCGACCUGAGAGGGUGAUCGGCCACACUGGAACUGAGACACGGUCCAGACUCCUACGGGAGGCAGCAGUAGGGAAUCUUCCGCAAUGGGCGAAAGCCUGUCGGAGCAACGCCGCGUGAGUGAUGAAGGUCUUCGGAUCGUAAAACUCUGUUAUUAGGGAAGAACAUAUGUGUAAGUAACUGUGCACAUCUUGACGGUACCUAAUCAGAAAGCCACGGCUAACUACGUG